rfam:Triticum aestivum genome assembly, contig: Triticum_aestivum_CS42_TGACv1_scaffold_576763_7BL
GUAGUAUUCCCUCCGUCCCAAAAUUCUUGUCUUACACUUGUUUAGAUAUGGAUGUAUCUAACACUAAAACAUAACUAGAUACAUUCGUAUUUAGACAAAUUUAAGACAAGAAUUUUGAGACGGAGGGAGUACAAA